CAGUCGCCACGGUAAUACGAAGGGGGCUAGCGUUGUUCGGAUUUACUGGGCGUAAAGCGCACGUAGGCGGAUCGAUCAGUCAGGGGUGAAAUCCCAGAGCCCAACUCUGGAACUGCCUUUGAUACUGUCGAUCUGGAGUAUGGAAGAGGUGAGUGGAAUUCCGAGUGUAGAGGUGAAAUUCGUAGAUAUUCGGAGGAACACCAGUGGCGAAAGCGGCUCACUGGACAAUAACUGACGCUGAUGCACGAAAGCUAGGGGAGCAAACAGGAUUAGAUACCCCUGAGUCCCUGUCUCUUAUACA
rnacentral:rRNA from 1 species